AGUCGUAACAAGGUUUCUGUAGGUGAACCUGCAGAAGGAUCAUUAAAUACUAUCAUCUGUCUGACUUAGUGAUUGGAGAUCUUUGGAUUGAAAAUUACUUAUUAAAACAAAACAUGUUCUUCCUUUCCUUGCUAACAUGGGGAAAAAGGUUGACAUGAACACUUAACGUUGGUAAACUUGAAGUCUAUAUAAAAAAACUAAACUGUCGAGUCUGUUAUGUUGAAACAACAUAAUGGUCAUUUAUCCAGCUUGCAUGGCCCUCUCAUGGUCAAGGUCAUUGCUUGUUGGCACAAAUUACGUCAUUUAUGGCGUGCAACUCUUGAAAAAACUUCAGCAAGCCUACAGCGCGAACUGAAAAACAAUUACAACUUAUAGCGGUGGAUACCUCGGCUACUUUAACGAUGAAGAACGCAGC
rnacentral:misc_RNA from 1 species